GAAUCAAUAAUGCACGGGAACAUGCCACAGUUGGCUGAAUCUGUCUUCUAACAGUUGCUAAUUGCCAGUGUUUCAAAUAUAAUUGAAAUACGAGUACCCAAGAAUAAUUUAAUUCAUUAUAUUUUGGACAGGAUAGGAAGUCCGUUGUCUGUGUUAUCUUUACGAAGAUUGAUAGACUUGGGAUGUCGUCUGAUAGUCUACAUUU
rnacentral:snoRNA from 1 species